CAACUACUCCCUCUGUCCCAAAUUUCUUGUCUUAGAUUUGUCUAGAUACAGAUGUAUCUAAUACUAAAAUGUGACUUGAUACAUCCGUAUCUAGACAAAUCUAAGACAAGAAUUUUGAGACGGAGGGAGUACUUU
rnacentral:pre_miRNA from 1 species